AUUUGUUCAUCUGCUGUGUGACUUCAGCACCUGAAACAUGUUCCUUUACCUGUUUGUACUUUUCUCUCACUGCAUAGCUUUGGGCUCCAUGAACAGCAUAAAGCAGGAACGUGCUGAAGAAGCUGUUGCAGAGCGAGGAAACAUCAACCUGACCUGUACAUAUGAUGGUCUUAUCAACAAUAUCCAGUGGUACCGACAAUACCAGAGAUCCAGACCAGAGUUCCUGCUCUACAUCACAGAGGGAGGAUCAGUUCAUCGAGCUGUGUCGGGAUUCUCAGCUCACAUUGACAAAACAGAGAAACGUGCAGAUCUGGAGAUCUCCUCUGCUGCAGUGUCUGACUCUGCUGUGUACUACUGUGCU